CAGCAGCCGCGGUAAUACAGAGGGUGCAAGCGUUAAUCGGAAUUACUGGGCGUAAAGCGCGCGUAGGUGGUUUGUUAAGUUGGAUGUGAAAUCCCCGGGCUCAACCCGGGAACUGCAUCCAAAACUGGCAGGCUAGAGUAGGGCAGAGGGUGGUGGAAUUUCCUGUGUAGCGGUGAAAUGCGUAGAUAUAGGAAGGAACACCAGUGGCGAAGGCGACCACCUGGGCUCAUACUGACACUGAGGUGCGAAAGCGUGGGGAGCAAACAGGAUUAGAUACCCGCGUAGUCCCUGUCUCUUAUAC
rnacentral:rRNA from 1 species